UAAUAGAUACCUCGGUAGUCCACGCCGUAAACGAUGUCAACUGGUUGUUGGGGAUUUAUUUCUUCAGUAACGAAGCAAACGCGUGAAGUUGACCGCCUGGGGAGUACGGCCGCAAGGCUAAAACUCAAAGGAAUUGACGGGGACCCGCACAAGCGGUGGAUGAUGUGGUUUAAUUCGAUGCAACGCGAAAAAACCUUCCCACCUUUGACAUGUACGGAAGUUGCCAGAAAUGGCUUCGUGCUCGAAAGAGAACCGUAACACAGGUGCUGCAUGGCUGUCGUCAGCUCGUGUCGUGAGAUGUUGGGUUAAGUCCCGCAACGAGCGCAACCCUUGCCAUUAGUUGCUACAUUCAGUUGGGCACUCUAAUGGGACUGCCGGUGACAAACCGGAGGAAGGUGGGGAUGACGUCAAGUCCUCAUGGCCCUUAUAGGUGGGGCUACACACGUCAUACAAUGGCUGGUACAAAGGGUUGCCAACCCGUGAGGGGGAGCCAAUCCCGUAAAGCCAGUCGUAGUCCGGAUCGCAGUCUGCAAUUCGACUG
rnacentral:rRNA from 1 species